CUGAAAUCCUUCCUCCUGCCUUUAGCUCCUCAGCCUUCUGUCAGUUGUUUUUCUUUUCUGAGACAGAAUGGCACUAAACUACUGUUAACUCUCAUUUCUAAUGUUUUGCAAAAAGCUUUAUGGUUUAUAAUGAUCUGACAUUCUUCUCAAGCAGGAGGCUGGAAGUAAGCUUUGCUACAGGCCAUCAGGGGAUCUUAACAGCAUCUCAAACCCAGCUGGAAUCCAAAAUCCAAGCAGAAAGAUCCGUUGAAGAGCAGAAGUCCCAGAAACUUCCAGAAAUAACAGCCCAACGGCUGUGUCUGGAGCAAAAUGUCUCUGCCCAGUUCACAGAGCUCCAUCAGUGGCUUCAGGAGAAGGAAUCUGCGUUGAUCAGAGAGAUCCAGAGAGAGGAGAAGCUGCUGCUUAGUGAACUGGACAGGAACCAAAGAAACAGCCAAGAGCAGAUCCGCACAGCCAAUGAGCAAAUAGCUAAGAUCCAGGCUCGGCUUGCAAUGGCACCGGACUCUGAUAGCUUCCUUCAGGUCAGUGCAUUUCUCAAGCCAUAUCUGCAUUUGUCUGUCUAGGUGUAUAUGUGUCUUUCUCUUACAGGUAG
rnacentral:lncRNA from 1 species